rnacentral:tRNA from 1 species
UCCCUGGUGGUCCAGUGGUUAAGACCCCACACUCCCAAUGCAGGGGGUACAGGUUCAAUCCCUGGUCAGGGAA